UUUGUCGCAAAACUUAAACAGUCCAUGCGACGCCUAGUUGUGGCGGAUUGAAACGAAGAAUGAUGAUUGUUGUUUGGUUUGCUAACUUUAUUGAUCUGAACAGCUGGAAAAAUCGCGUUUUUUCGCGAAAUUAAUCAAAAACCAGUGAAAUGACUUCUGAAGCAGCCGACCGCUCAAUGGCUGGAGCAAAUCAAACUGCAUCGGUGGAUGAUUUCCCAGUGCAUGUUAAACUGAUCGAUAUAAUCGAUUAUGUAGGAGAUUCCGUUCGACCGAUCACAGAGGGUUCCGCAGUUCACAGAUCCGGCAAAAACAUUGAGACAAGACGGCACGAUACAUUUCACAACACGGUCAGCCGCCAUGGAAACGAAGCACAAAAUUGCAAAAAAACACCUUUUGCAAACAUUGUUAAUUCAAUCCGCAUGAAAAUUUACAGAGA